UAAAGGAAGUCUCACAUUGUAGUCUUUUUUUUAUAAAAAAAGGUCUCUGUGUAACGGAAUAGAAAAGCAAAAGGUUGCAAUUUUCAAUUUCACAGCUUUACAUUUGCAUUAAAUGCCAGCUAUGAGCCAGGUUAUAAUAGAAUUGGCCAAAAGAUCGAUUUCAUCCUUCUAACCAACCUCUUCUCCCUUUUGAACUAAUAAGGCAAGCAGCCUUUUGCAGAUUUAUUAAUCCAGAAGAAGAGUCAGCUACUCAAUUGGAUAGACUCAUUAUCUAUUGAAUUCUCUCUCUGUCGUCGUUUGCCUCUAUUUCCACGGAAGAAAGAGAAUCUGGAUCUAGUACCAUCUUUGAUUCCGACUUGAAGUUCAUCGCCC
rnacentral:lncRNA from 1 species